CUCAUCCUUGAGUUGAAAUAACUUACAACAAUCCAAAAACUUUGCCAUAACAACUCUAGUACUAUUCUCCCCCACUUAGAAUAAUUCCUUCCUCGAAUUUUAGAGUGGAAAAGAAUGAAUAAUUUCUUUGAAAAAGUACACUAUGUAGCCUUCUUUGAUGAGGAAAAAAAAUGGAGAUUCAAAUGAGAUUGAAUUGAUCAAUUUCAUCCUUGCCUUUGUCUCUAUAAGAACGCCUAGACCAAUAAAAUCGAAGGAAACAAUAGAAAUUAAGGA
rnacentral:misc_RNA from 1 species